UCUAGUCGUGUUUGGUGGACAGUUCAAGCACUCUGCUCCCCAUCAGUAGAUGUACGCCAUAGUUCUUUGCACUGCCGUCAUCUGUCUCAUCUGGAGAAGAGGUGAUGCAGCCAGCUUUACAAAACCCCAGAGAGCAGCUGGAAGAUGCAAAUGAGCCUAAAGAAAGUGUGGAACAGCAUAAGGGUGAGUAUAUUAACUUUUUAUUUUAUUAUUAUUUUAUUACAUUUUUUAAUUAAACUAUCCUGUUAAAUCAACUGAACUAGAUAAAGCAUGGCU